rnacentral:lncRNA from 1 species
UUUGAUCCGACAAGGUCAGUUUUUUCAUAGUUUGUUUCGUUGAAUGUGAAAAUAUAAGUGACAUCCGGCAUACCUAGUGCUUUCUAUGAUCAUAUUGACGUUUUAAAUCUUAGACCUAAUUUACUGCAAUUUCUAAUGAUAUACAAAUCUUGGUGCCUACGGUCGGCACGCGCACCCGCACCCACAUGCACACGCACACGCACACGCGUGCACACACACACGCUAACCCGAGGUGGCAGGAAUACAAAUUGAAUGCCACCAUCUCAAAUAACAAUCCUUAUAGCCUUACCUAGCACUGGUCAAAGUAUUAUUUGUCCCACGCAGAAGUAUUCAUCCAAAGAAGUUUGCACAUGUCGAUUUCAGCUCUCUUUUUUCUCCAACAACUUUGCAUGUUAUCUCAUUAUUGUGCUGGAGUUUUCUACCAGGUGAUAACAGAAUUAAACUCCUUGACGUGUCCUUUGGUAUAUAUAAACAAUGUGAAACACCAAAAUGUUAGCCCAUGCAUGGGUUGAUCACUAGUGUGCAUAGUAGAACAACCUUACUAGCUUAUUUUACAAUGUUUGAAGAAAAUUAUGCCUGCUAUGUUGCAAAGGCUGGGAGGAGGAUCCUUGCAUUGUCGAAAAACAAUAUAAUUGUGAAUUUAUGUUGCACGACGAUAGGAACUUAAAUACAAAUCAAAUAUUUACAAGCUAGCUCUUGCAGUUCAUUCAUGGUUACAUUGUAGUAAAAAAAAUUACACCUUCAAAAACAAAUUAUGCAGUGUGCAAUGGAUUUAGAAUCCACCAAAUUACUAUUGUGAUUUCCUAGAGAAAGUCCUCAUUACUCAGCUGGUGUAGAUGAAUUUUUGGAGUUUGCAUAUAGAGAUAUACCAGCAAAUACAAUGGCCAAUAUCCUGCCUCUGUCACUUCUUGCAUCAUGUCGAUGCAUUGCUAACAGCUCAUUUGUGUUUUUCUGUCUGUAGUUUCAAAAGAUAAAUGGAUGAAUAUAUUGGUGCGUGCAAGUAUACUGCAAUUAUGAUGAUGAUGUUCCUGUUCAUGAUGAUGAUGAUGGAGGCUUCCAGUUUUAGUUAAGUUACAGGGAAGAUGUUCUAUUUGGAUGAUGUUCCUCGGUUGAGUUUUAGAUAAGAUGUAUAGAUGUUGAUGGAUGCUUCCAGUUUUAGUUAAGUUGCAGGGAAGAUGUUCUAUUUGGAUGAUGUUCCUCGGUUGAGUUUUAGAUAAGAUGUAUAGAUGUUGAUGGAUGUUGUUAGUUUAAG